rnacentral:misc_RNA from 1 species
GAUGAAAGAACGUAGCGAAAUGCGAUAAGUAAUGUGAAUUGCAGAAUUCAGUGAAUCAUCGAAUCUUUGAACGCACAUUGCGCCCGCCAGUAUUCUGGCGGGCAUGCCUGUUCGAGCGUCAUUUCAACCAUCAAGCCCCAGGCUUGUGUUGGGGACCUGCGGCUGCCGCAGGCCCUGAAAACCAGUGGCGGGCUCGCUGUCACACCGGGCGUAGUAGAUUUUAUCUCGCUCAGGGCGUGCUGCGGGUUCCGGCCGUUAAAAAGCCUUUUUUACCCAAGGUUGACCUCGGAUCAGGUAGGAAGACCCGCUGAACUUAAGCAUAUCAAUAAGCGGAGGA